GAUCCAUCAAGAGGGACGACAAUCCCACCGGCAGGAGGCCAGACUUCCACAGGAGAGCUUGGUGGAGGACGGUGGGAAGGAACUAACAGGUGGUAGGAGUAUUCAUAGCCCAUCCCCCCUCCGCUACCUCAAAGGCUUGUUUCCUGUCCCCAAAACGAAGAGCAAGAGGUACUUCCUGCAUACUCAGUACAGAGCAGAACUUUCCACACAGGACAGCAAGCCUUGGGGCCGCCCCACCACACUGCAAGGAGCUAGCCAGGUGUGUCAGUCCAAGGUCUUCAGAGGGGCUACCUGGCCGCCUGCCCAGCCCUGAAAACUAGAUUCAGCCACAGUGUCUCACUCAGUCUGCAAACGCCCUGAGAGUCUCAGACCUUUGAGCCGGCCAGUGGACCCGCUGCUGUGAGCGCUGCGGGAAUUGCCUUAGCGAUAGCCUGCCUGUCCCCAGCACUAGUUUCUCAAGUCGGCUUCCCACCAAGACCAAAGUACCCGGGAGGCCCCGAGACUGGAGGACGAGUGUCCGGAUCAGAAGCGAAUCCAAGCCACCCGGGAGAGCUCGCCUGGGGCUCCAGGACCUGCCUCCGCCCAUGUGAUCCCGGGGCCGCCCCUGCCGCCGCCCCUGGCCCGGGAAGCCGCCUCCUCUGCGCUGCGGAGCCGGGGCGCCGCCACCUGGCCCGCGCCUUGCGGGGGAGCUGGAAGUGGGAGCGCAGACUCUGCCUGGAGCCGCCUCUCUAGGCUGAGGCCGGUUCGAGGUGCCCGCAUCCUCCCGACUGUCCCUGAGUACAGGAGAUCAGUUCAAAUGCCAGACUGUCUUCCCUAGGCGCAGCAUACGGAGACUGCGUCCCUCGAUGUCGUCGUCUCCAGUCAGGCUGGCUUGGUGGACCUCAUUGUGGUCCUCCCCCACCUCCACCGCCCACCCCCGACCCCUCCGCUCACUCCUGGCUCCGAUGUUGGAGCAGAUAUAGUCCCACAAAUCUCGAACCUGGGCCACCCCUGCACCCUCCCAUCUCUUCCCGGACAGACGCCCCACUCAUGGCUUUGUGCUGCCAGCGCAGUGACUUAGCCUCAGAUACCCUUCAACCCUGCGCCUAAGCAGGGAGGCAUGCCCAGACCUAGAAGAAAUGGAGAGCGCUUGGCAGGGUCACCGGGCACACCUCCUCUCCCACUAGCCUGUCUGGAAUGGGCUAGCUCCAACCACUACCAAGAACCCUGUCUGCCCCACCCUUAUGCCAGGCUCCAUGGCUCAGGCCAACGCAGCAGGGGAGGGGGAGCAAGGUGCAGGCCUAGGAACUAGCCUCCAUCCGACCAGCGCUAUACCUGGCAACUCUUGCUCUGGGGAGUUCAGGGCCCACGCAGCUGCCUCCUGCCUCUCCAGUUGCUCUUACAACUUGGCACAGCCAAGAGCACACCUGUGGACCCAGCUGUAACCUGCCUGCCUCAGGUGUGAGUCAUCCCCUCCGAGAUCCCCAAGAGGAUUGCCCUCACCACCCUCACCAUCCUCCUCACCUACAAAGGGCACCGGUGUGGCUCAUAGUUCCUGCAUUUCCCACUCAGCCAGCUUGACUCCAGCCACCUCCCCGGCCCCGCCUCCCACAGCCUCCUCUUGCGCAGGUAAAUGGCUCUACCACACACUAAUUCCAGGGGCUUCCCGGAGGGGCCGCUUGUCUGCUGCACCUGCUCUCUCCUCCCCAGCUAGGCUGGAAGCCUUUUCUGUUUAUUUGUUUUGGUGCUGGCGAUCGAACACAGGGCCCUAGACCUCCAUGGACUCACCCUCAGUCUCCACCCUCAGUCCCCCGAAAAUCUCUUGAGCAGACCUCAGGGAGGGAAGGCACCGCCUUGGGGUCACAUUGUCCUAGUCUCAGGUGCCACAGCUGCCCUUAACGGUGUGAUGCUGGGCAGUGCGCUGUUUAGUUUUUUGUCAACCUGACACAAACUGUAGUUAUCUGGAAAGAGGGAACCUCACCUGAGGAAAUGCUCCCUCAGACUAUCCUGUGGGCAUGCCUGUAGGGGCAUUUCCUUGAUGGCUGAUGGAAUCGGGAGGGUCCAGCCCACUGUGGGCAGUGCCAUCCCUUAGCAGGUGGUCCUGGGUGGUAAAAAUAAAGCAGGCUGUGCAAGCCA